CCCCCGCCUCAGCAUAUGGAGUUCCCUGGGCCAGGGGUCAGACCUGAGCCGCAGUUGCAACCAAUGCCACAGCUGCAGCAACUCCCGAUCCUUUAACCCUUAACCCACCGUGCUGGGCCAGGGAUGGAACUGCGUCCUGGAGCUGCAGAGAAGCUUCCGGUCCCAUUGUACCACCCCAGGAACACCAGGUAUUACAUCUUUUUUUGUCGUUGUUGUCUUUUUAGGGCUGCACCUGCAGCAUAUGAAGGUUCCCAGGCUAGAGGUCCAAUCAGAGCUGUAGCCGCCAGCCUACACCACAGCCACAGCAAUGUGGGAUCCGAGCUGCAUCUGUGACCUGUACCACAGCUCAUGGCAACGCUGGAUCCUUAACCCACUGAGCGAGGCCAGGGAUCGAACCCACAUCCUUAUGGAUGCUAGUCAGGUUCGUUAACCGCUGAGCCACAAUGGGAACUCCCUGUUAGAGAGGACAAGGGACAAGUCUUCUCGGCAAAGCCUGCCUGGGUUCAUAGCCUCACUCAACCCUUGACUAGCUCAUGACCUUGAACAAGUCACUCCACCUUUCUGAGCCUCAGUUUCCUCAUGUGUCAACCAUGGAUAGCAAUAGUAAUGACCUCCCGGAGUCAAAUGAGCUAAUACAUCCCAAGUGUUGAAGGCGGGGGGCGGGGACUCCAAGAAUGUCAUCAGUUUUCCCUGCGGCCACUAUUAUCGCUCCAAGAUGCGCGCAUCUGCACACGCACCUGCACAUGCACACACCCACCUGUGAACUCCGGAGACACGGCUGGGAGCGGGGCCCAUGGCUGGAAGGGCACAAGCAUGUCCCUUGGACUAGGGGGCGGGGGGCUGUCCUCACAUAGUUCUCCCCCCAUUUCUGUUAGAGCCCCCGCCCCCGAUCCUGGGGAGGCUCCGGCCAGUGUGGCUGUGAGUACCAGCGAGGCAGGAGAGACCCCGGAAGGCAGACAGACAGACCGCCUCUCUCGGGCCUCGGGAAACCUGGGAGGCCCCCCCCCCCACUGCCUCUGCAGCCUUGAGCCCUGUGUCCUGUAUACAAAGGCAAGGGAAGCAGCGUGUUUGUUUUCCUGGGGCCAAGGCAAUGCAUUUUUAGCUCCUCCAAUUCUCCAGACAAGGAAGAGGAUGUUUGGACGGGCAGCUCUGAUCUACCUGUCCUGGAAGCUGCCUGGAAAUGGAGUAAAGCCCCCCAGGGUGAGGGGAGCAGGGCCAGACAGGCUGGGAGACGAUGCGACCUGGACCCAAGGCUGACGGGCUCCCUCCCCCUCGAGAAGCUUCAUUCUCACUCACCUUUUGCUGCUCACCUGCCGGGCCUGGAGCGCCCUGAUAAACGCAAACGACCUGACUUCUAGAGCAUUCGCCCUGGGUGGGGCUCUGGGGCAAGACCUCUACCUGAACUGACAGCCUUGAGGGGAAAUGCAGCAAUUAUUACCAUUUUAUCAGCAAAGAAACAAGGCUGGCUGGGUCCUUGCCUGCUUCCUGGAGGGCUGGUGCUCUCAUCAACGUGUUCAUACCUGGAGGAGGGGGGCGCUGAGGCCCAGAGAGGGAUACGAACUUGCCCGGCGUCACCCAGCAAGGAAGUCACAGCACCGGCAUUCGAAUCCAGGGCUGUCCCACCGAAAGCCACACCUUUGCCCCCCUCCCCGGGUUGCGAUGCCUCCCUGCGUGGCCCGAAUCAGAGCUGCCCAGCUUUUCGUGUCAUUUCGCACGCAGAAAAGUAGGCAAAUGAAGGGAACUGGAUGCAGGAGGCUGUGCCCCCAGCACCCAGCCCCCAUCCCAGAACGGGAGGACCCCACUCGAUGUGGCUGAGCCAGACCUUCCCAGAUCAGGGCGUCCCGGCUGCCGUGUUCUGAAGAUUUGACUGGGAAUUCUGGAAGGGGUGGGGACAGGCCUAUAGCAGGCAGUCUUGGCGGGGGAUGACUACGACAGUACACGGGCCUUCAGCAGCUUUCCAGAGGACAAUAGUUGUGACUGCAGGAAACAUAACAGACCUGUCAAAAGAAUGGGAACCCAACCCAGAGUAAAAGUCACAAGUUUCUCAUCAAUAUUCAUAAGAACAAAUGUUUACGUGGCACCUGCUUUGUUGGCAGCUUUCUCCAAGCUCUUUAGGUGUAUUAAUUCGGUUAAGCCUGGAAACAGGCCUUCGGGAGACGAGCCGGGAUCACCCCAUUUUACAGAUGGGGAAACCAAGGCCCGGAACAGCUCUGCAAGCUCAGGGAUGAGUGAGGGCUGAGCUGGGAUUUGAACCUGGGCAGCUAGAGCCAGCAUCACUCUCUGGAUGUCUACACCUGGGUGCCAGGCCAGGCAAAGGGGAAAACUCACAGGUGCCCAGUUCAGCUGGACCCUGCCCUCGCUCACCCACAGAUUCUGGCGCAGCUUCACCCUUCCUGGGGCGGGCCCUCUGCUGGGCAGGGGUCUGGCUCCCUGGCUGGAGGAGGCACCUCUGGCUGUCAUGAAUGAUACCCACUUCACCAGGCUGAGGCAGGACAAGGGACCCUAGGGGCUGCUGGAGAGGAAGUGCGCAUGGGAGGUAUGCCCAUCCUGUCCUGGUCCUUCUCUCUCCCUUGCCCCAGCUCACCACCUGAGUCCCCAGCCCGUGCCACCGCCAUGCGGAAGCUCCCCUUUGAGAGAAGUUCUGACAUGGCUUCGAGGUUUAAGAUCCUGUCCUCGAGGGAAAAGCCAAGGGCAUUCAGAAGGGACAUCUGAGGUUCAGAGACAUCAUGUGACAUGCCCAAGGUCACACAGUGAGUCAGGGACAGAAUGGGUGAUAGUUAUGCCAACUCCAGAUACCCCUGGCUCCUCCUCUGCAGUGGGGAAGCACCCGCCUCCCCCCACCCCGGGUGGUGGCUCUGGAAGGGUGUUCCGUGGCAGAGGGCAAGGAGCAUGUGGGUGGGAGGGAAGGGGCUGGGUGAGGCUGGGCAGGGGUUCCGGAGGAGUAGCUGAUGGCUUAUUUUUACCCCAAAUCGCCUUUACUCUUGCUGUCCCCUCCCUUUGUGCACUUCUCCAUCCCAGUCUCACCCACUGGGAUGCUUUUCCUGGGGGCGAGUUCCCAGAAAUGGCACGUUGUCCCUUCCCACCACUGCCUGGAGGCCACUGGAGGCUGUUGCACAUGCUGCGGGUAUCUUAGGUCCUCACCAGGGCUGUGAGUUUCUGACAGCAGGAACCGUGAGCCUGAGCGGGAGUGUGGAUUGAUGGACAAGGAUCCUGCUGGGUAAGCCCCGCAGACCUGCCUCCAAGACCCUGCAGGUGCUGGUUACGGGCUGUGUGGCCUUGACCUCUCUGAGCCCCAGUUUCCUCAUCCAAAGACUGGGAUAGCCACAUUGGCUUUGCAGGGUUGCUCUGGGGAUCAUAUAUGAGAAAGGGUGUGAAGGUGCCAGCCCACUGCCUGGCACCACACAUUUGCUUGGCACACCGUGCAGUUAGCACCUUUUCAUCGAGGUCUAGAUCUCCACCAUUGCAUGUGACCCGUCAACGAGCAGCAGUGUCCCCUGGGGGCUUGUUAGAAUUGCACCGUGCCAGGCCUACCCUAGACCCCCUGAGUCAGAAUGUGCAUUUUAAGAAGACCCCUGGUGACCCAUGUGCGCCAUUUGAAUGGCACUGAUCUAAAGCAUGGGUCAAAAAUGGUCCAACAUGUGAUUUCAUCUGCUCAACCGCCGAACCACCUGACGAUCCAAGGAGAGCAAAGUAUGUUAUCCCCAUUCUACAGACAGGAACACUGAGUCCUGGAGCGAUCACCUGACUUCCUAAUUCACGCCAUCAGGAGGUGGCCGAGCCAGAGGUAAACCACUGCUAUGGGCUGCAGAGCAGCUUGGAGUGGCUGUCCAGGGCCAGUCCAGUGAGGGGCUUGGAGGAGAGCAGUUCACGAGCUCAGCAUGCCCAUCUGCGGAAUGGGGUCCCAACACAACCCGAUUGUGGGGAGAGUGUGUAGACGUGCCCUGUGCGGUGCCCCAGAGUUGUUGUCACAGAGAACUGGGUGUUGCAUUGCCAGCUCACCUCUCUGGAGUCCCCUGCCCUUGAGGGGCUUACAGGCUGAGGCAGGCAGGUGGAAGACAGAGAGACAGAGACAACUGUACAAACACCCUCGGGCGGAGCUCACGUAAGUCAACAAGCAAACAGAGGGCAGCCCGGCGGGAGUGACUAAUCGUCUUAAUAGUAACCACAGCGGCAGCGGGCAUAAGGCUCCCUGGCCACCGAGCGCAUCCCUGCUGAAGUCAUGGGGUGGCCAUUGAUGGGACCAGGCGGGAGCUCCAGGCCCAAGGAAGCUGGACCACCCCCUCCCUGCACCUUCCUCCUCCUCUCCCUCCCCUUCCGCCCUUCUUCAGGGCUUCAUUCUUUCUGGAUGUGGACGAGGAGCCCAGCGUUCACAACAGACCCCCACCACUUCCCAGCGUGUGACCCUCAGCCACCCCUGGGUCGUAGAUGAGGAUAAUUCUGGAGCCUCCUCCAUUUGGUCUCGGGGAUAAUCUAGUGACUGGAUGUGGAUGCACACAGACAGAGCGCUCGGCUGCAGUUCCGAUUCCCACUUGGACGAGGCGGCGGUGGCCCCACGCUUUGCCCCAGAGGGAAGUGCCGUGGCUUCACCACACCCUUACUGCAGAUGGAGGAGAAAACGGACACUCAGAGAGGGAAACUGACUUCCCUAAGAUCACCCCGCCGCUUAGCGUUGGAGCAAAGCCAGGUGUGAACUUAAGUCACAGGACUCCUCGGGCAAAGCUCGAGGGGAGGCAAGAGCAAAGUUGGAAAGGCAGACCCCUCCCCAGGUCCCAGCCCCCCAGAGUGAGAGCCUUCCCCCUGUGGGACCUGCUGGGGGGCAUGCAGGGAUGGGCUUGUGUGUCCAUGUGUGACAUGGGGGCAAGACGGGCCUUGGGGGACCUGGAUCUGUGGCCACGUGGGCAGGCCAGGGAGUAAGAGAGGAUGAAGACACCCGGGGGCGGGGGUGGGGUGGGGGGGUAGCAGGAUGAGGGAUGGCCCCCAUGGGGGACAGUCAGCACCAGCCCCUGGGCCACUGGGGCCCUAUGUGCAGGUGCCAGGGGUGGGCGUCCCCUGCCAGAAGACCACCACAGAGUGGGGGCUCCAUCCCGGCCUCCACCCAUCAUCUCUCCGCCCAUCCCCCACCUCUCCCAGCUCCUUCCUGUUUUGAUGGAAGGAAAAAAUUUCAGCUUUUUCCUUCUUUAUUUUUCCAGACGGGUGACUCGCUCGCUGGGGAAAGGAAUUCCCCCCUCCCCAAACCAUCAUAAUACCUAUAAAUCGAUGCCAUAGAUCCAGGCCCAUCCUGUUGUGCGGGAUAGUCACCGCUAUUUUUGGGUGCUGUUGUGGGGGUGGUACCCCAGGGGAGGGGAUGGGGAGGGGCGGUCUCGGCUGCCUUCUCCCAGUCCACGUCCCCCCCUCCCCACGUUCGUCCCCACCCCCACCCCCCUCCCUGCCCGAGUUCUGGGAGGAGGAAGGAAGCCUGCUUAGCCGGGUAUAAAUAACUCAGGUGACUACUCAGCUCCUGAGAACAUGGUAACAUGAGUCACGAUGUGAAAUCAAGAGGAGCAGAGAACAGCCUUGGGCCGCCCCCCACACACACACCCGCCCAGGGCAGUGCGGCUGCGGGCGGAGGAGAUCUGGGGCCCGGAGACCCCCGGUGGGCAGCGUCCGGGAGGACAGGCCCAGCUGCCGGCCCAUGUGUGGUCUCAGGCAGCCUCCGCCGAGCUUAGACUCUCCGUUCACUCAUCUGGAACCCGGGGCGGAGUGGCCUGGGCUCGGUUCCCAAGGCCCUCCCUGAGCCGGGAAGAGCGUGAGAGCAGGGCCAGGGUCUGGGCAUCUCAGCCCUGGCCUCUCCCUUCGCCUGUCACAGUCAGUGGGAAGAGCAGUUCUCUUGGAACUUCGGGUCCCCUCCCCCCAUGUCCAAGGCAGGUGUCCAAGGAGUUCCCUGGGCCUCCAUGGGACUGGCAGGACAGGUGGCCGGGGCUGAGAGAAGAGCACAAGCUUCUGGACACUUGGCCUCCCGAGCCUUCCUCCACCGGGGGGACCUUGAACCAGGUACAACCCCCAACCUCCUUUGCCUGCCUGGCCGCCUUGUAGAUGGUGUAGACAUGAGGCGUGGAUGCAACAGGACGCUCUCAAGGAUCACCGGCUUAGCCAAUGGGAU
rnacentral:lncRNA from 9 species